GCCUUGGCCCAAUGUAAGUAGAAACUCUCACCACAGGUAACCCAAGCCCUGGGCUUCUAUUCAAAUAAAUUAUGAGCAUUUGUAUAGAGUUUCUUACCGAUAAAAAUAAGUGGGAGAUUAAAGAAGAAAUCAGGCUUCACUUUGCACUCCUUCGUUUUUUUUUUUUGUGAUAUGUCCUGAGUAUUAUGGAGCGAGCCAUUUUACUCACUCAUUCCCCCUUUAAUAACAAAUACAAAAAGUGAGGAAAAAACGGUGUAGACAACGACGUAGACAACGGUUGACUGAGAAUAAGGGUUCGAUUCCUGAGAGGAAGUCCGCGCAACAUACCACAUUCAAUGAAGGCAGCAGGCGCCAAAAUUAGCCAAUCUUGACACAGGGAGGUAG
rnacentral:rRNA from 1 species